rnacentral:rRNA from 1 species
UAUCACUACAAUUGAUGGCGACCGGCAAACGGGUGCGGAACACGUACACAACCUUCCAAUAAGUGGGGAAUAGCCCAGAGAAAUUUGGAUUAAUACCCCGUAACAUAGCGAUGUGGCAUCACAUUGCUAUUAUAGAUUUUUCGCUUAUUGAUGGGUGUGCGGCUGAUUAGAUAGUUGGCGGGGUAACGGCCCACCAAGUCUACGAUCAGUAGCUGAUGUGAGAGCAUGAUCAGCCACACGGGCACUGAGACACGGGCCCGACUCCUACGGGAGGCAGCAGUAAGGAAUAUUGGACAAUGGACGCAAGUCUGAUCCAGCCAUGCCGCGUGAAGGAUUAAGGUCCUCUGGAUUGUAAACUUCUUUUAUAGGGACGAAAAAAGGCUUUUCUAAGUCGUCUGACGGUACCUUAUGAAUAAGCACCGGCUAACUCCGUGCCAGCAGCCGCGGUAAUACGGAGGGUGCAGGCGUUAUCCGGAUUCACUGGGUUUAAAGGGUGCGUAGGCGGGCAGGUAAGUCAGUGGUGAAAUCCUAGAGCUUAACUCUAGAACUGCCAUUGAUACUAUCUGUCUUGAAUAUUGUGGAGGUAAGCGGAAUAUGUCAUGUAGCGGUGAAAUGCUUAGAUAUGACAUAGAACACCUAUUGCGAAGGCAGCUUACUACGCAUAUAUUGACGCUGAGGCACCGAAAGCGUGGAGAUCAAACAGGAUUAGAUACCCUGGNAAGUCCACGCCCUAAACGAUGGAUCUCGCAUACCCGAUACCCUUGGGUGGGUUUAACGAAAACAUUAAUAUUCCNCCUGGGAAGUACCAACGCCAGGGUGAAACUCAAAGGAAUUGGGGGGGGUCCCCCCAACCGGGGGGACAUUUGGUUAAUUUCA